GAUAAACGCUGGCGGCGUGCCUAAUACAUGCCAGUCGAGCGAACAGACGAGGAGCUUGCUCCUCUGACGUUAGCGGCGGACGGGUGAGUAACACGUGGAUAACCUACCUAUAAGACUGGGAUAACUUCGGGAAACCGGAGCUAAUACCGGAUAAUAUAUUGAACCGCAUGGUUCAAUAGUGAAAGACGGUUUUGCUGUCACUUAUAGAUGGAUCCGCGCCGCAUUAGCUAGUUGGUAAGGUAACGGCUUACCAAGGCAACGAUGCGUAGCCGACCUGAGAGGGUGAUCGGCCACACUGGAACUGAGACACGGUCCAGACUCCUACGGGAGGCAGCAGUAGGGAAUCUUCCGCAAUGGGCGAAAGCCUGACGGAGCAACGCCGCGUGAGUGAUGAAGGUCUUCGGAUCGUAAAACUCUGUUAUUAGGGAAGAACAAAUGUGUAAGUAACUAUGCACGUCUUGACGGUACCUAAUCAGAAAGCCACGGCUAACUACGUG
rnacentral:rRNA from 1 species